CUUCCUGGUCGGUGCCCAGUCACCCAGCCUCCAGAGCCCGGCUGCGGGCCUCGGGCCGAAGUGAGGAGUGCGCGUGGGCGAAGGAAUUCUCCCGGGGAGAUAAGCCUGGCCUCAGGCCCUCCCUGGGACGUCGUGGGCCGGACGCCUGGAGGAGGAGAGGAGGAGAGGGCCGAGCGCUCGUCACAGGCCCUGCGGGGGCCGCGGCCCAAGGGUCCUUCUGCUCAGGAAUGAAUCUGAGGCCAGGCAACAUCUUGGUGAUGCUCCAGCCUUUCCAGCUGACUUGGUGUAGAGGACCUGUGGGAUGUGCUGAGGAGGACUGAGGGAGAGAUGAAUGGAUAAAGAAGAUGUGGUACAUAUACACAAUGGAAUAUUACUCAGCCAUAAAAAAGAAUGGAAUAAUGGCAUUUGCAGCAACCUGGAUGCAGCGCAACUAGAGAUCAUCAUACUAAGUGAAGAGGGUGGCAGUGUUUCAGAGGCUGCCCCAUCAGCCCAGGUUAACGAAGGAAGAAGUGGAGCAGAGCCCAGCCCACCCACGUUGGACAUGGCACAAGAGGGGCAGACAUUCAGCUGGUGUCUUAAAACAGAGCUCUGAAAUUCAACAAUGGAGAAAACUGAUAUUCCAGAAAACAGAUUGUCAGUUAUUUGCACAGAUAUCCUUACCCAAUGAGACCAAGUUGCUGUAGUUCUCCAACAUCACAUCCCUGUACAAGGCCCUCUGAACAGCGUCCAGGCACUCCCAUUCCUCCUGGGAGAGGUCUAUGGCCACGUCCCUGAAUGACAAGGACAUCUGAAAUGACAGAUCCAUGUAUCAUAAA